rnacentral:rRNA from 1 species
UUAUAUGAGAGUUUGAUCCUGGCUCAGGACGAACGCUGGCGGCAUGCCUAAUACAUGCAAGUCGAACGCACGAAGUUGAAAAGCUUGCUUUUCGACCAAGUGAGUGGCGGACGGGUGAGUAACACGUGGGUAACCURCCCAUAAGAGGGGGAUAACAUUCGGA